rnacentral:rRNA from 1 species
UACGGAGGGUGCGAGCGUUGUCCGGAAUCACUGGGCGUAAAGGGCGCGUAGGCGGCCUGUUAAGUAGGGGGUGAAAUCCUGCGGCUUAACCGCAGGGCUGCCUUCUAAACUGUCAGGCUGGAGCACAGUAGAGGCAGGUGGAAUUCCCGGUGUAGCGGUGGAAUGCGUAGAGAUCGGGAAGAACAUCAGUGGCGAAGGCGGCCUGCUGGGCUGUUGCUGACGCUGAGGCGCGACAGCGUGGGGAGCAAACAGG